GGAAAUCAGCCACAAAAUCCAGUUUGUCAGCUCGAUCGGCAAAAUUACAGUGCCGAAGUAAGAUCUUCGGACCAGCAGUCCCCGGUCCGAUUGUGACCAAAAUCGCAACACUCAGCCCGGCAUCAAUUAAACUGCACUCUCCACAACCAUGGCCGUAAAUACUGGUAUGAUCUAACCCGCCACUGAGCCUGAGGGACCGCCUGAGAGAACGCCUGAGAGAUCGGCUACUUGGCCGUCAUACUCAACUACCUACAGCACGUCUAAGUAAAGCGCAGAAUAGUCCUACUUUCACCGUAAAGGUCAAGUUGAGCGGACAACAUCUCCUUAGAAAAAAAAACUGUACGGUAUCCCUAUUGAUCAAAAACUCCUCAAAGAACUAACUGACAAGAAACCUGUGUGAUAUUUAAAUAAAUAUGAUAAAAUUAAGUGUUACAAGUAUAUGUAAGUAAUAAGAGAACUAAGUGUUCACAAGAAAGCCCAAGUGUUGGGAAAAUUAACUGUGAGACGUCUGCGAGUCACCCAUCAAUACGGUGAUAAGAAAACUAAGUGAGAAUUAAUAGAAUUGACUGGUAGAAGAUCUGUGUGAUCUAUCGAAUUGAGUGUAAAUCUAAGACGUGAUAAGCGAUAAGAUAAAUUAGUUUACAGAAAAUUUGUACGAUUGAUAGCUUAACCUUAAGCCAAGAGAAUAAGAAAACUGAACUACAGAAAAUUUGUGUGAAUUAGAUAAGUGCAAAAGUUAAACUGAAGUCUUCAAUCUGAGAAGACAGUGAUUGGAAACAUAAGUUCUAUUUGGAUCCUUGUAUAUAUUAAUUGUAAAUAUUAAAUUGGCAUAUAUAACUUGUUAAAAUAAUACCUGUUCAAAAUCUGAAGAU